rnacentral:rRNA from 1 species
UACGUAGGGUGCAAGCGUUAAUCGGAAUUACUGGGCGUAAAGCGUGCGCAGGCGGUUAUGCAAGACAGAUGUGAAAUCCCCGGGCUUAACCUGGGAACUGCAUUUGUGACUGCAUAGCUAGAGUACGGUAGAGGGGGAUGGAAUUCCGCGUGUAGCAGUGAAAUGCGUAGAUAUGCGGAGGAACACCGAUGGCGAAGGCAAUCCCCUGGGCCUGCACUGACGCUCAUGCACGAAAGCGUGGGGAGCAAACAGG